UACAGAGGUCCCAAGCGUUGUUCGGAUUCAUUGGGCGUAAAGGGUGCGUAGGCGGCGCGGCAAGUCGGAUGUGAAAUCUCCACGCUUAACGUGGAGGGGCCAUUCGAAACUGCCGUGACUCGAGUCCGGUAGGGGAGUUCGGAAUUCCCGGUGUAGCGGUGAAAUGCGCAGAUAUCGGGAGGAACACCAGUGGCGAAGGCGGAACUCUGGGCCGGAACUGACGCUGAGGAGCGAAAGCGUGGGGAGCGAACAGG
rnacentral:rRNA from 1 species